CGGGCCGGGACCGCUCAGGUCGGCAGAGAGCGGCCCUCGGAGCCGCCCCCGGGGAAGGGGGAAGAGAAAAGCCGGCGGCGGCGCUUUCAUUCGCCCAAAUCCUCAUCUGCACACCUCGCUCCAAAGCAAUUAUUGCAAAAAUUAGAAAGCAAUUAGUGCUUGUGAUGUUGCAGAUGAAGUCUUAAAGAGCUGCAAUGUCCUCCCAGAAGGAAUGUCUGCUUGGAACAGAUCCUUAUUGACAAGGCAGCUGCGUGGGGACCGGAACGGAGCCUUAAACCCGGCUCUAACACCAACUAAUACCCUAAAGUCUGGAGCAAGUGCGCAGAAUUACAGCGGUGGGCUCCGAGCCUCCCGCAGGAGCGGUGCCACGGCCGCACCGAGCCCGGGACGCGCUCCCCGGUCCCUUUCCCUUUAUUACAAUGCGCUCUUCCUCUAAUUUUCCAAGACGUUUGGGAAGCACGGACCUGAGGGUUCGUCCAUUCAGGGCUAAGGGGUGAAGAACGCAAAGCGGGGCCGUGAGGAGCCCUGGUUUGUAACGAGAGCGGCUUCUCCCUGCCCGUCCCUUCCCAAGGCCGAACCCGAACGUUGGGGCUCAGCCCCCACCGGGGCCGCGCCGCUCCGCGCCCCACAGCGCCCGCGGAGCGAACGGGGCUGCGCCCGCGGGCAGCGCUGCGGCCGGGGCCGCUCCCAGCGGCGUGCGUUACCCGCUGCUUUUCCUACAAAACAAACGGAAAGUUUUCGCUUCAAACCACCCGAAAGAAGCAAAACGGCACGGAUUUCCGAACCUCACGCUCCGUUUAGCCCCAUAAAUUCAGACGAGAAAUGGUUUCGAAGCGCUCGAAUAAAAGCAAAGGAACGGAGCUCGAAGCGAACGGCCGAACGGCGGCAGGGCGGCUCGGGGAGGUUCUGUGCCGUACGGGUCGGGCUCAGCCCGGCCCCGAUCCCUGCGCAGGAGCGCACAUCUCCGCGGGUUUAUUCGAUGCGGAGCGGGGAUGGGGAUGGGGCCGGGGCAGCGCUCGGCCGUUUUUCACCGAUUUCGCCGGAAAAAAAAAAAAAAAAAAAAAGAAUUGUAUAGGAAAGAUAGAAAACGCGGCCCCCCUCUGCCCCUCCGGCCUUAGAAAUAAGCCUACCAAAUAAACCUAAAGCUCUCUAUGUGUUUUUAAAGUGCGGGUUUCUGGAGAGAGGAGCAGCAGAAGGGAGCGCUGGGAGCGGUGUCCGAUAAGAGCCGCGGGCUCUGGGCUGGAGCCGGGCGGGCGGUAACAGAACGCUGCCGAUUUCCGAACCUUUCGAAGGCGAAACCCAAAACCGCCCCAUUAGUCAAUGAGGUUUGUGUUGGAGAGGGC
rnacentral:lncRNA from 1 species